rnacentral:rRNA from 1 species
UACGUAGGGUGCAAGCGUUAAUCGGAAUUACUGGGCUUAAAGGGUCCGCAGGCGGACCAGCAAGUACCUUGUGAAAUCUCAGGUCUCAACCCUGAGUCUGCUGGGUAGACUGCUGGUCUUGAGUGCAAAAGGGGUCGCUGGAACUCUAGGUGGAGCGGUGAAAUGCGUAGAUAUCUAGAGGAACGCCAAAGGUGAAGACAGGCGACUGGUUUGCAACUGACGCUCAUGGACGAAAGCGUGGGGAUCAAACGGG